CAGACUAUUCAUCUCUUUCCUGCCAACCUGCUGAGCUCCAUGUGAGGAUAAGCCACAGGAUACAACACGUGCUCUAAGUCUAAGAUUUGGGAUUCAUGCUUUUCUCUUUACUAAGAAGAGGCUUUAAAAUUCCAUGACUUCUGGGAAACCAAGAUGGUUCUGAAAAGUCCUCUCUCAUGGCCAAAGCGACGGACACAUCGAGGGCUCCCACGCUGUUGCUGCUGCUGCUGCUGCUGCUGCUGACGCCGUUCUAAUUCACUCAGCACACUGUCUACAUUCAAGACCUCUCGCACUGGUCUCCA